AAUAUGAUCAUCUCGUCUGACCUUCGGCAUGACACAGGCCAGAGAACCUCACCUACUAAUUUCGGCAUCAAGCCCGUAACUUCUAGCUGACCUGUGAGAUGUCUCUUAGGUAGAUAUCCAGUCUUGACUUAAAGACUUGAAGUGAUGGAGAAUCCACCACAUCCUGUCAGGCCCUAGGUUCUAGGCAGUCAGGCCUGGUGGUUGGAGCCGGCUGGAGCGUCGGGACUGGGCCAAGGGCAAUGCUGAAAUCAGGGUCUGGGGACAGGCCGUGGGUCAGAAUCCACAGACAAGCCAAAUCAGGAUUGAAGUCAGAGUUCGGAUGCAGGCCAAUGGUCAAAGUCAGGUUGGAAUCAGUCCGAGGGCCUGGGGGGCCAGGAGGCGGAUGCAGGCUGGAGCGGGACUGGAGCAAGCUCAAAUGGAAUGAAGACUUCACUGUGAAGGCAGAAGGAACUGGACAAGCAACAGUAACGAUAAUUUAUAACGCAAAGCGAAAGGAAGAUGAAUCUCAGUGUAAGAAGUUUGACCUGAGGGUAUCGGUUGAAGAAGCCCAGGGUGUUAAGAAGCCGGAUGGAGCGAUGCGUUCAGUCUAUAU